AAAAGAUACAAAGAGCAUGUGGGGAAUACCUUGGCAUACAGAGCUGAUGAAGGACGUGGUUAGCUGCGAAAAGCUUCGGGGAGCCGCUAGCGGGCUUUGAUCCGGAGAUAUCCGAAUGGGGAAACCUUCCAUGGGUAAUGCUGUGGAACGUAUAGCUGAAUUCAUAGGCUAUAUGAAGCAAGCAGGGGAACUGAAACAUCCAAGUACCCUGAAGAAAGGAAAUCAAGUGAGACUCCCUUAGUAGUGGCGAACGAACGGGGAUCAGCCUAAAUCCAUCAAGUGUAAAGCUAACAGGCGUUGCUUGAUGGUGGUCAUGGGGCGCAGUUUGAAAACGCUGUUACGUUUUCGAGAAGUUACCAAAACAUAUAUUAGAUGAAGCUUUUGGAAAGAAGCACCAAAGAAAGUGAUAGUCUUGUAAUCGAAAAUAUAUGUUCUUCUUUAUUGCGUUCCCGAGUAGAACGGGACACGAGGAAUCCUGUUUGAAUUUGGGUGGACCAUUAUCCAAGGCUAAGUACUCCUGUAUGACCGAUAGUGAACUAGUACCGUGAGGGAAAGGUGAAAAGAACCCCGACAGGGGAGUGAAAUAGAAUAUGAAACCACAUGCUUACAAGCAAUCAGAGGCCGCAAGGCUGAUGGUGUGCCUAUUGAAGAAUGAGCCGGCGACUUAUGGGUAGCAGCAAGGUUAAGCUUUAAGCGGAGCCGUAGCGAAAGCGAGUCUGAUAAGGGCGUUAAGUUGCUAUUUAUAGACCCGAAACCAAGUGAUCUAGCCAUGGGCAGGGAGAAGCCUCUGUAACAAGAGGUGGAGGCCCGAACUGGUUGAUGUUGAAAAAUCUUCGGAUGACCUGUGGCUAGUGAUGAAAUUUCAAUCGAACUUGGUGAUAGCUGGUUCUCUCCGAAAUGUCUUUAGGGACAGCCUCGGAUCAAAUCUAUCGGGGGUAGAGCACUGUUUAGGCUAGGGGGCUCACCAAAGCCUACCAAACCUAGGCAAACUCCGAAUACCGAUAGCCAUUAUCCGGGAGUGAGAACAUGAGGGAUAAGCUUCAUGCUCAAAAGGGAAACAGCCCUUGAUCGUCGGUUAAGGUCCCUAAACUAUGCUAAGUGGGAAAGGAAGUUAGAACUCUUAUACAGCCAGGAUGUUGGCUUAGAAGCAGCCAUCAUUUAAAGAAAGCGUAAUAGCUCACUGGUCUAGUAUUCUAGCGCCUAAGAUGUAACGGGGCUAAGCAUAGUACCGAAACUGCGGAUUUGUUAUCGCAAGAUAAUAAGUGGUAGGAGAGCGUUCUAUAUUGGCUGAAGUCAGGUUGUAAAGCCUGGUGGACGAUAUAGAAGUGAGAAUGUCGGCAUGAGUAACGAAAAAACAAGUGAGAAUCUUGUUCGCCGAAAAUCUAAGGUUUCCUGGGCAAGGGUCGUCCUCCCAGGGUUAGUCGGUCCUAAGUUGAGGCCGAAGGGCGUAGACGAUGGACAACAGGUUAAUAUUCCUGUACCAGUAAAUAUCGUUAUUACCAAUGGAGAGACGCAGGAGGCUAAGCAAGGCCGGUAAUUGGAUUCCGGUUUAAGCCCGUAGGGGGAAAGAAUAGGCAAAUCCGUUCUUUCGUUAACCCUGAGAGGUGAUGACGUAAGCUGCUGAUGCCACGCUGACUAGAAAAUCUUCUAGGGAGAGCAUUUACUGACCGUACUAAAACCGACACAGGUAGAUGAGUAGAGCAUACUAAGGCGCGCGAGAUAAUUCUCGUUAAGGAACUCGGCAAAAUACACCCGUAACUUCGGGAAAAGGGUGGCCAGGGUAAGGUGAAGGAGUACAUCCGGAGCCUGAACUGGCAGCAUAAAAUAGGUGUUGGCGACUGUUUAGCAAAAACACAGGUCUCUGCUAAGCCGGAAGGCGAAGUAUAGGGGCUGACUCCUGCCCAGUGCUGGAAGGUUAAGAGGAGGUGUUAGGCGUAAGCCGAAGCAGCGAAUUGAAGCCCCAGUGAACGGCGGCCGUAACUAUAACGGUCCUAAGGUAGCGAAAUUCCUUGUCGGGUAAGUUCCGACCCGCACGAAUGGAGUAACGACUUGCACACUGUCUUAACGAGGAACUCGGUGAAAUUGGAAUAUCGGUGAAGAUACCGAUUACCUGCAGCAGGACAGAAAGACCCCGUGGAGCUUUACUAUAGCUUGGCUUUGAGUUUUGAAACUACUCGUGCAGGAUAGGUGGGAGACUUUGAACCUUUGGCGUCAGCCAGGGGGGAGUCGUCGUUGAGAUACCACCCUAGUUGUUUUGGAAUUCUAACCUAGUACCGUAAUCCGGUCUAGGGACAUAGUCUGGUGGGUAGUUUGACUGGGGCGGUCGCCUCCUAAAAAGUAACGGAGGUGUUCAAAGGUUCCCUCAGAACGGUUGGAAAUCGUUUGUAGAGUGCAAGGGCAUAAGGGAGCUUAACUGCGAGACUGGCAGGUCGAGCAGAGACGAAAGUCGGACCUAGUGAUCCGGUGACUCCGUAUGGAAGGGUCAUCGCUCAACGGAUAAAAGUUACCCCGGGGAUAACAGGCUGAUACUUCCCAAGAGUUCAUAUCGACGGAAGUGUUUGGCACCUCGAUGUCGGCUCGUCACAUCCUGGAGCUGGAGCAGGUUCCAAGGGUUGGGCUGUUCGCCCAUUAAAGUGGUACGUGAGCUGGGUUCAGAACGUCGUGAGACAGUUUGGUCCAUAUCCGCUGUAGGCGCUAGAGAUUUGAGGGGAGCUGACCCUAGUACGAGAGGACCGGGUUGGACGAACCUCUGGUGUACCAGUUAUCGUGCCAACGGUAAACGCUGGAUAGCCACGUUCGGAUCAGAUAAUCGCUGAAAGCAUCUAAGCGAGAAACUGGCCCCAAGAUUAGAUCUCUUUUAAGAUCCCAUGUAGACUACAUGGUUGAUAGGCCGGAGGUGUAAGUGCAGCAAUGCAUUCAGCUGACCGGUACUAAUAGAUCGUAAUCUUUUUAUG
rnacentral:rRNA from 1 species